GAUGAACGCUGGCGGCGUGCCUAAUACAUGCAAGUCGAGCGAACAGAUGAGGAGCUUGCUCCUCUGACGUUAGCGGCGGACGGGUGAGUAACACGUGGAUAACCUACCUAUAUGACUGGGAUAACUUCGGGAAACCGGAGCUAAUACCGGAUAAUAUAUUGAACCGCAUGGUUCAAUAGUGAAAGACGGUUUUGCUGUCACUUAUAGAUGGAUCCGCGCCGCAUUAGCUAGUUGGUAAGGUAACGGCUUACCAAGGCAACGAUGCGUAGCCGACCUGAGAGGGUGAUCGGCCACACUGGAACUGAGACACGGUCCAGACUCCUACGGGAGGCAGCAGUAGGGAAUCUUCCGCAAUGGGCGAAGGCCUGACGGAGCAACGCCGCGUGAGUGAUGAAGGUCUUCGGAUCGUAAAACUCUGUUAUUAGGGAAGAACAAAUGUGUAAGUAACUAUGCACGUCUUGACGGUACCUAAUCAGAAAGCCACGGCUAACUACGUG
rnacentral:rRNA from 1 species